rnacentral:rRNA from 1 species
GACGCUGGCGGCGUGCCUAACACAUGCAAGUCGAGCGAGUAAUUUAGUAAUUGAUCCCGUUCGGGGUGAUUUUGACUAAGGAAAGCGGCGGACGGGUGAGUAACGCGUGAGUAACCUGCCCUUUGGAGUGGGAUAACACAGAGAAAUCUGUGCUAAUACCGCAUAAUAUAUGUUUACCGCAUGAUAGACAUAUCAAAGAUUUAUCGCCAAAGGAUGGACUCGCGUCUGAUUAGAUAGUUGGUGAGGUAACGGCUCACCAAGUCGACGAUCAGUAGCCGAACUGAGAGGUUGAUCGGCCACAUUGGGACUGAGACACGGCCCAGACUCCUACGGGAGGCAGCAGUGGGGAAUAUUGCGCAAUGGGGGAAACCCUGACGCAGCAACGCCGCGUGAAGGAAGAAGGUCUUCGGAUUGUAAACUUUUGUCUUAUGGGAAGAAUUUUGACGGUACCAUAGGAGGAAGCCACGGCUAACUACGUG